UACGUAGGGGGCAAGCGUUGUCCGGAAUUAUUGGGCGUAAAGCGCGCGCAGGCGGUUCUUUUAAGUCUGGUGUAUAAGUGCGGGGCUCAACCCCGUGAGGCACUGGAAACUGGGGAACUUGAGUGCAGAAGAGGAGAGCGGAAUUCCACGUGUAGCGGCGAAAUGCGUAGAGAUGUGGAGGAACACCAGUGGCGAAGGCGGCUCUCUGGACUGUAACUGACGCUGAGGCGCGAAAAGCGUGGGGAGCAAACAGG
rnacentral:rRNA from 1 species